rnacentral:rRNA from 1 species
GAUGAACGCUGGCGGCGUGCCUAAUACAUGCAAGUCGAGCGAACAGAUAAGGAGCUUGCUCCUUUGACGUUAGCGGCGGACGGGUGAGUAACACGUGGGUAACCUACCUAUAAGACUGGGAUAACUUCGGGAAACCGGAGCUAAUACCGGAUAACAUUUGGAACCGCAUGGUUCUAAAGUGAAAGAUGGUUUUGCUAUCACUUAUAGAUGGACCCGCGCCGUAUUAGCUAGUUGGUAAGGUAACGGCUUACCAAGGCAACGAUACGUAGCCGACCUGAGAGGGUGAUCGGCCACACUGGAACUGAGACACGGUCCAGACUCCUACGGGAGGCAGCAGUAGGGAAUCUUCCGCAAUGGGCGAAAGCCCGACGGAGCAACGCCGCGUGAGUGAUGAAGGGUUUCGGCUCGUAAAACUCUGUUAUUAGGGAAGAACAAACGUGUAAGUAACUAUGCACGUCUUGACGGUACCUAAUCAGAAAGCCACGGCUAACUACGUGCCAGCAGCCGCGGUAAUACGUAGGUGGCAAGCGUUAUCCGGAAUUAUUGGGCGUAAAGCGCGCGUAGGCGGUUUAUUAAGUCUGAUGUGAAAGCCCACGGCUCAACCGUGGAGGGUCAUUGGAAACUGGGAAACUUGAGUGCGGAAGAGGAAAGUGGAAUUCCAUGUGUAGCGGUGAAAUGCGCAGAGAUAUGGAGGAACACCAGUGGCGAAGGCGACUUUCUGGUCUGUAACUGACGCUGAUGUGCGAAAGCGUGGGGAUCAAACAGGAUUAGAUACCCUGGUAGUCCACGCCGUAAACGAUGAGUGCUAAGUGUUAGGGGGUUUCCGCCCCUUAGUGCUGCAGCUAACGCAUUAAGCACUCCGCCUGGGGAGUACGACCGCAAGGUUGAAACUCAAAGGAAUUGACGGGGACCCGCACAAGCGGUGGAGCAUGUGGUUUAAUUCGAAGCAACGCGAAGAACCUUACCAAAUCUUGACAUCCUUUGAAAACUCUAGAGAUAGAGCCUUCCCCUUCGGGGGACAAAGUGACAGGUGGUGCAUGGUUGUCGUCAGCUCGUGUCGUGAGAUGUUGGGUUAAGUCCCGCAACGAGCGCAACCCUUAAGCUUAGUUGCCAUCAUUAAGUUGGGCACUCUAGGUUGACUGCCGGUGACAAACCGGAGGAAGGUGGGGAUGACGUCAAAUCAUCAUGCCCCUUAUGAUUUGGGCUACACACGUGCUACAAUGGACAAUACAAAGGGCAGCUAAACCGCGAGGUCAUGCAAAUCCCAUAAAGUUGUUCUCAGUUCGGAUUGUAGUCUGCAACUCGACUACAUGAAGCUGGAAUCGCUAGUAAUCGUAGAUCAGCAUGCUACGGUGAAUACGUUCCCGGGUCU